AUUGAACGCUGGCGGCAUGCCUUACACAUGCAAGUCGAACGGUAACAGGCCUCUGGGUGCUGACGUGUGGCGCACGGGUGAGUAAUGCAUCGGAACGUAUCCAGAGGUGGGGGAUAACGCAGCGAAAGCUGUGCUAAUACCCCAUGUGAGCUGAGGGUGAAAGCGGGGGAGAGCGCAGCAAUGCUCGGCCUCGCGUGUUUCUAGGGGCCGAUGUCGGAUUAGCUAGUUGGUGGGGUAAAGGCCUACCAAGGCGACGAUCCGUAGCUGGUCUGAGAGGACGACCAGCCACACUGGAACUGAGACACGGCCCAGACUCCUACGGGAGGCAGCAGUGGGGAAUUUUGGACAAAGGGCGAAAGCCUGAUCCAGCAAUGCCGCGUGCGGGAAGAAGGCCUUCGGAUUGUAAAACGCUUUUGGCAGGAACGAAACGCUGUCCGCUAAUACCGGGCGCUAAUGACGGUACCGGCAGAAUAAGCACCGGCUAACUACGUG
rnacentral:rRNA from 1 species